CCAAUCCACACCGGCACACCCAGUCCCUCCCUGAGACUGCAGCAGUAGUUGCUGGGUUUUGUGUGUCUGUGUCUGGCUUGAAGCUGCUAAAAAUAAGAAGCAUGGCAAAAUUGUAGUUAUAAAAGUGAAUAAUGGAUAGCAAAUGGAGGCCAUCUUUCUAUGGCAUAUUUUCCACGGAUAGAGGAAUGCAGUACAGUUAAGCAUGUUGAAAGAGCCACUCCUGGGACUGACACUUGGUCCAAUCCUGCACAACGUUUGGAUGGAUUUAUGAGACUUGGCUGACUUUAGAGGAUAAACAUCCUUACUCAUGGAGCUGGGAAAAAACAGGCCAGAAGCAUGCCCUGUCACUCACAUGGUGAUCUUCGCUGUGUCCUUGGUGCUGUUGCUGAUGAAACUGAUCUCAA